CUGGACUUUCAAGUCUGUGCAGGUGAAGGUGUGUGAGAGCGCCCGAGAUGGCAGAACAAGAGCUACAGAACCCUUAUGACCCAAGAUGGAACUGAAAUGCCAUCCUAUUAUCAAGAAGGAGCAUAAGAACAGCUAGAGGAGAGAUGCAAGAUUGAAAUAUCAUGGAAUGGGCUAUGGUUUAUCCUCUCUUCUGGUCAUAAAACAUCAUCAGGUUGCAAUUGCUCAGAUCAGAAAUUCCCAAGCUUUUAAUAAGGCCCUCAGGGAGCCUCAUUCAGGGACAACUGCCCUGUCACUGGGAAUAAGUAGAGUGUGUGGGAAAUAUGUUGUCCUUGGUAAAACCUCCCCUUAGGAAAGAAGGCAAGAGAAUUGAGUAAGAUAAUGAUGGGCCAAAAGGAAAAAAUAGAGAAAGAGGCUGCAUGCUACAGAGAACAAGAGCAAAGAUUCGAAAGCUUGGCACAGUUGGGCUUGAAACCAUCUGUGUAAAGGGGACUAAUAAUGCUGACCUCAUUGGGUCAAAAAUGACGUUUAAAAUAAUGGUGUUUGCAAGGGACCUAGCACGUAUUAAGAAUUUAAUAAACAUUGGUUUUCCUCCCUUCUCCUAGGGAUUAGGGAAAGCAACAUCACUUUGCUUAAAUGCAUAUAAAAAGGCUUCAGACUGCUUCUUAACAAUGAGCAUCUUUUGACAGUGAAUAUGCAAACCAAAAAUAAAGAGCAGUUGAGAAACUUUG